UUGCAAAAGCGAUAGUAGUGGUUAGCUUUUGGCGAGGCGCGCAUCGAGCCAAAACUAGUAACGAAUAGCGCGGUGGCUU
rnacentral:misc_RNA from 1 species